UACGAAGGGUGCAAGCGUUAAUCGGAAUUACUGGGCGUAAAGCGCGCGUAGGCGGCUUUGCAAGUUAGAGGUGAAAGCCCGAAGCUCAACUUCGGAAUUGCCUUUAAAACUGCGAGGCUAGAAUUGUGGAGAGGUAAGUGGAAUUCCGAGUGUAGAGGUGAAAUUCGUAGAUAUUCGGAAGAACACCAGUGGCGAAGGCGACUUACUGGACACAUAUUGACGCUGAGGUGCGAAAGCGUGGGGAGCAAACAGG
rnacentral:rRNA from 1 species